GCCUGAGUCAACAAAACACCCCAAGAGGAGACAUCCAAGGAGCACCUUCAUAAAAUCUGAAGUCAUGCCGGACACUCAGCUACACAGGCUUGAAUUCUGAGGGGUUGUCUACAUGCUCUCCCACCUAUGAAAAUCACCAACAGCAUGCAUGGACCUGCUAGAAGUGUGGCUAGGUCACCUGGAGAGAGCAAGCAUUUCUUGGCUAGAGGCUCGUGGCUAGAGUUUCAUUACACACAAAGGCCAAUGACUGUGUAACAUUUUUGGAAAAUAUUGUCGAGGACAAUCCAUCAUGGAACAGAAUUUGGAUUAUUUGUUUUGGCUGUCAUCUUUCUACUACUACUAUGAACACAAGUAACACUUCACUUAGUCCCAGCUAGAAAUAAAUACAAAUUUUAAAAAUCACUAACUUAUUAUACAAUGUGUUGCAAAUUACAGUCUGAGACAUAUUCCAUGCCCCAAACUGUUUUUGACAGGGUCAUAGUGGAGCACACAUUUUAGUCUGGAAACUCAAGUAGAACCUGAAUGGCCUUUUCUUGCUUAAAUCAAUCUCACUUCUGGAGCCCACAUCUUACUGAAUUCCACUGCAUGAGAUUUACAUGGCAGGCAGAAAAGCCGUCCAAUUAAUUCAAAGCUGGAGAGCUACAGAAAAUUGACAUGCAUGUGUCCUUGGUCAGAAAAUCCAGCAACAAUAAGACAUCACAAGGACUCUAGAGCUUCAAUCAAGUAAACAGCAUAACAUUUUAUUUGGCUUAUUAAGACUGUGCUUGGGGAAAGAGGGAGAUAACCUACAGGUGAAUUAUAAAUAUACAGGAAAAUAAAUAUUGCAUUAUACAUGUAAAGAGCUAGUCAAGUGUUUAGUCUUUUAAAAUCCAUUUAAAUGGAAGGAUGCUAUGCAGAUGAAUAAAAUUCAAGCUACCCUGUC